GCGCUGGGCAGCCGACAGGGACAGGAGGUGCGGGAACAAUCCUGGCCAUUCAAGCCGCCCGCCGGCAGGGAGCGCUGGCCCGCAGCCAGUCUCCACGGGCCGAGAUACAGAGGGGCGUUUGUCUGGGGGACGCAGGAGCCUCACCUUCCUCAUCUCAGGGAGAAAAAUGAUGUGUGUGCCACCAGACAAGAUCAUAAGGAUGAAAUAAGAACCAACAGGAAGUACCCUGCCCAGGAUAUGCGGUUGAAUGAAUGAAGACAUGGUCAGGGCUGCGGUGUGGCUUUUGCAGGCUGUUUGCAGUGUAAUAAAGUUUCAUGGGCUUUAAACAUUU